UACCUACGGGGGGCAGCAGUCGAGAAGCAUUCACAAUGGGGGAAACCCUGAUGGUGCGACGCCGCGUGGGGGAAUGAAGGUCGUCGGAUUGUAAACCCCUGUCAUGUGGGAGCAAAUUAAAAAGAUAGUACCACAAGAGGAAGAGACGGCUAACUCUGUGCCAGCAGAUGCGGUAAUACAGAGGGCUCAAGCGUUGUUCGGAAUCCCUGGGCGUAGAGCGUGCGUAGGCAGUUUCGUAAGUCGUGUGUGAGAGGCGCGGGCUCAACCCGCGGCCGGCACAUGAUACU
rnacentral:rRNA from 1 species